AAAUUGACAUUCUAUCAUAUAGUAUACCUUGUUGUAAAACACUUAAUGGACCAGCAGAGAAUUCAUAUUCUUCUAGACGAGCGAGUUCUAUUUCGCUCAGUUCACUUCUAGGUUUAUCAACCAAAUCGCUAAAUUAUUAGAAAAAAGAAAUCAAAAAAUUUUAGAUAAAAGGACAAAAGACAUACGCCAUUAGAACGAUACAAGCUAGGAAUAUCAAAAAUGGUAGAAUUUUAAGUCUCUUGGGGGUCAAGGACAAGUGCUAUUUAACGAGCAAGUUCAAGAUUGCACAAAAUGGAUUUCAAGUUAGAAGCGAAAUGUUGAAAAUCAAUUUCGGUUCAAUAUUUUACUAUAUCUUAUUAUUAAUUAAAAAAAAUCUUUUAAUCACACACUUUAACUCAUACCUGACAACUUUCAAUGUGGGAUAUAAAAAACUGAAUGCAUUGUAAUUGUUUAUUGAUUAUAACAUUAGAAGUAUAAUUGGACUACUUAAUCACAAAAUCCCUAAGGUCUCAUAAACUAACUAUCCUUUCAAAUGCAAAGUCAUUGAAUUGAAGGAUGAACACUAGCUACUUAUGGAAAUUAAGCUGA